UAGAGAUUGUGUAAAGACUACAGUGA
rnacentral:piRNA from 2 species